GAUGAACGCUAGCGGCAGGCCUAAUACAUGCAAGUCGAACGAUAGUGAGAAGCUUGCUUCUCACGAAAGUGGCGCACGGGUGCGUAACGCGUAUGCAACCUACCUUAAUCAGGGGGAUAGCCCGAAGAAAUUCGGAUUAACACCGCAUAAAAUCACAGUAUAGCAUUAUACAAUGAUCAAAUAUUUAUAGGAUUAAGAUGGGCAUGCGUGACAUUAGUUAGUUGGCGGGGUAACGGCCAACCAAGACCACGAUGUCUAGGGGAUCUGAGAGGAUGCCCCUCCACACUGGUACUGAGACACGGACCAGACUCCUACGGGAGGCAGCAGUAAGGAAUAUUGGUCAAUGGAGGCAACUCUGAACCAGCCAUGCCGCGUGCAGGAAGACAGCCCUCUGGGUCGUAAACUGCUUUUAUUCGGGAAUAAACCUAUCUACGUGUAGAUAGCUGAAUGUACCGAAGGAAUAAGGAUCGGCUAACUCCGUGCCAGCCGCCGCAGUAA
rnacentral:rRNA from 1 species